AUAGUCCAGUCAUUAUAGUAAGUUCACCUCGGAAUUCGAGAUACCCAGCUGUAAGUCUGUAAAUACGUGUAUAUUGACACCCUAAAAGUUGUCUCAAAACCUACAUAUGGUAGGGUGUAAGCAACUAUUAAAUUUCAAGGUCAACGGUCACAAAAAUCGGUUUUCUGCGCUUUUUUUAGAAAUAUCUCAUUUCCUGUGGGUUUUUUGCUAUUUGUAUUUAUUAUCAAUAUUGUAGAAUACUAAAUUCUCUACAAAUUUUGUUUAAAAACUUUUUUUAUACGGUGAACCGUUUUCGAGAUAGAGGGCGGAGAGCGCGCGGUCACUGCAUCACUUCAGUAGGCCUAAGAUGCGCGCAUCGACAAUGACAUGAUAUGAUAAGACAAUUUUCGAUCACGUAGAUAAUUUUAUCAUUUUCCCUAACAUGGGACCAUCGAUAGAAAAGUCUAUCGACCGCUAUCGCGUGAUAACCCAAUUGUUGCCAUAUUAAGAAAAAUUUGCGUUAUUAUGUUGGCCAACCUUGAAAUAUUUUAGCUCAUUCGUUCAAUCUCGUUCAUUUCUGCUAUUAAUUCGGCUGAAAAACAUAUCUUAAAGCAGUGAGAACGUCAUUAAAAAAAAGUUAUGUCAAUUUUGUUGACAUUACAUGACUGCUUGAUUGUAUUUGUUUCUGUUUUUAAAAUUGUAUUUUUAUGUUUCCAGUCUUAUUUUUAAUAUUUCUAAAGUACGGAAAAUAUCAAACGAAGAGAUAACCAAGUUAAAGAAAAACAAUGAAGAAUUCCUAAUCAUACCGAUAGUAUUAAAGAAUGAAGUCUUCAAAAUUAACAGAAUAACCGAACUCCACUACCUAUCCCAUAAUGCGAGGUUUACAGUAAAUUAAACGUACAUGAAGCAGUCAGAAAGUUUAUUGAGAUUUGAGAAAUAAAGUUACACUCAUAGGUAGCAAAACAGUGGAUGAAGAAGUGUGGGAUUAUGAGUGAUUAUUUCAUUCUAAAGCAGACAUAAGCAAGUCUCGCUCACUGUCAUGAAAAUUCACAAUAACAAUCAGCAAAAAACUUCAAGGAUACUGGCUAGGCUAACCAAUUCAUGGAAUUCUGUUAGUGUUUGAAAUUAUCAAUAGCUAUUGUAAAACAAAAGUUUUCCAAAUAAAGAUUUUGUAAAUAA